rnacentral:rRNA from 1 species
UACAGAGGUCCCGAGCGUUGUUCGGAUUCAUUGGGCGUAAAGGGUGCGUAGGCGGCGGGGCAAGUCUGAUGUGAAAUCCCGGGACUCAACCCCGGAACUGCAUUGGAUACUGCCUUGCUAGAGUACUGGAGAGGGAACUGGAAUUUACGGUGUAGCAGUGAAAUGCGUAGAGAUCGUAAGGAAGGCCAGUGGCGAAGGCGAGUUCCUGGACAGUUACUGACGCUGAGGCACGAAGGCCAGGGGAGCAAACGGG